rnacentral:lncRNA from 1 species
CUUACUGAAUUACCUGAUGUGUAUGUGCAUGAACUACGUGGUGUGUACAUGUCCUUGGAUUUUCUAAUCGCUGCGGUCUCAUCUGGCAGAUGGACAAGAACGAGAUGGUGCCGGUCCAGGGGGUGCCGCGCAUGCGGGGGAGCAUCGCGUCGUCAAGUGCGGUUGGUAAGUAUACUUUAUGCUGCUUUUUUUUGUCAACAUCGUCUCCAUGCAGGCUACACUGGGAAAGAAGCUGCUUAACUCUUGUGCAUGCUGGUUUUUUUUCAUCACUAGUAUACUGGUAUUGGACUGGAGCUUGAUAGCUCUGUCCAUGCUGGGCCUUUUUGUCAUCAUUAGUAUUGUUAUAUAUUAGCUGAAGCUGCACAUGUUUUCUUUCCAUUGACGUUGGUGCGGGCGGUGCUACGCGUCAGUCGGCCGAUGGAUGGACGCCUUACUCACCUGAUUUUAAUCAAGUCCCACCUAGGUGUAAUUUGUUUUGUCACUAGCUGUGUAUACAUAGGCGAGCUCCAGCACUGCAUUGCAGCGUGGAAAACAUAUGAACUGUAAUAAGAAACAUGCAGUGGCUAGAAACAUCUCCACAUAUUUUUUCAACACGUUUUAGGUGUCAACGAAAUUAGUCGGAUCGCCAGCCAUCGAAUUGACACAUGGAGCAUUGGAUCACAAUACAUGGCAGCAGGGAGAAUGGAAACCGUGUUCCUCCAUAGCCUCCACAAUACAUAUGUAUCCACCACCCCUCCCACAUCGUCGCAACAGACAAUUACGUCGGCCCCUUCCAACACCUCGCUUUGGUACCCUAGAGAUCCCUGAUGUCGCAUGGAUAUCCUGCAAGUAUUAUUACAGUGCGCCAAUGAGGCGUCAUCCUUGCAACAUUGUCUUACAGACAAUGUAGUUGAUGCCACCACCACCAUCACCCAUUUACACAUGGGCCGUCGCAUGUGGCACUGUUCGUGGGAUAAAACACACCCCGCGAGAAUACGCGGUUGCACCACUGCGAUCUAUGCAACUUAGGAAUUGUUGUGACUGCCCCUGCAAAACUAGCGAUGAUACGGCCAUCGCCCUGCAACAUUGGCCAUAGUUGUAGCACAUCUGAGAAGACGGAUGCCGCACCUAACAACACAGUAUGUGUUUUUUGCACCAUAAGGAAGCACUGCCUUGCAACAUCGGCUAUCAGGGUGCUGCACUGACAAACACACUCACGACCUUGAGAUGUCGUAUGCCUUGGCCGAUGUAGCAUAGUGCUCCUCUUUCAGCAUAUAGCGAUGGCUUGUAGCAUUGAUGGUCGGAGAGUCGCAGCAUCGUUGAGUGGCAGUGCUAGCCCAUCUCAUUGUCAUAGAGAAGGGGGAAUAAAGGAUGGGUGUGCACGUGGUGGAAAUAAAGCGAAUGGAUAUGGUGAAGAGAGAGGAAGACUAACAAGGGGCAUCUGGCGCUAGAGCGAGCUGACUGAUUUCCCCCUGAAACCAGCCUGUUGAAUAUAAUUCAAUUUUCUUUUGAGAGACCUCAUAAAAACGUCGCAACAUGCGAGCAUGUCUAUACAAAAAAUUGUAGAUAUACAACACACACUCAUUAGCUGCAACAAAUCAGUGAAAAACACAAUGUAUAUAGGCCUGAACCGAUGGAUCAUCAGCAUGCAUCUGCCAGCUCUUCCUAGGUUACGCCCAACCGUGAGUCGUUCAAUUGGGUCACACAUCACUACCCAAUCAACCACCAACUUAGUUGUUCCUCUCGUCUCCUCUACCCACCCUUGGCAACAUACACCCAUGAUUCUCAGCAAUAGACCAACAUGGAGGCGACAAUGGUGGCCAUGAUAGGCUAGUGAAAAGCACACUGGUUGGUCAACCUUACAACACUAAACAGAAACAUUGCAACAUGAGGUAACCCCAACUUUGUAGCACUGGUGCACCAUUUUCAACCACCUUGUAGCAAUGAAAAGUUCACUGACCAAUAGAAUUGCUGCACCAAGUUACUGGCUUCCAGCACUGAACACCCGGGCUUGUAGCACCACGAUGAUCGAUGGUCGGCCUUUCAACAGUAUUAGUUAACAUUGCACACCUCGUCUCCAUUUUUAUGUACAUACACAUGAGUGACCUUGGAACAUCAGUAACGUGUCAACAUUAUCAAACUUGAAGACGAUAAAUUUGUUUCUCCAAGCAUCGACAUUACUGAAUAAGCGUGCAACUGCACAUCCACCACAUGAGCCAUAAUUUUUUAGCCCUGCGACAACAGCUUAUAGUUGCAAAAGAGCUGACGAUGAUGGUUUAGAAUGUAUAUGAUCAAAAUAGAUUAAAUGGAGGGGAGGGUGGACUACCUAUGUUGAAUCAGACUAGCCACAAGGUCACAAGUGCCUUGUCUAAAUAGCCAAAAAGACAAAAGGAGGCCUCCUGGAUUCUCCAUCCUGAAGCUAAGCAUAACUCCAACUCCAGACACGCUAGGGGGCUACUAAAGGUGCAAUACGGUAGGGGUGUCUUCUGGGUGGGAAGCCUGGUAGCAGGCCUGCCUUAGGACCCAAGAGGCCAAGUGGAGGAUCGGUGCAGUAGGGCAGCUCAGGAGCCCAGAUAAGGACUAUGAGAGCAUCUUGGCAGGCAAGCUAAGAUGGCAGUGGUAUGAGAUCUGAUGGAUUCCUUGUAAACCUAGCCCUUGCCACCUAUAUAAGGAGGGGCUCGGGGUUGUCAUUCACAUAUACUCUCAUAGACUAUACUCUCUGUAGCAUUAUACUUCAUCUCCACUCUAAACCCCUCGCACAAGGUGCUCCACCAUGAAUAAAAAUCAGAUACAGGAAGUUGGGCAUUACCUCUCACCGAGGGCCGGAACCAAGGUAAAAACCUUUGUGUGAACUCCCUUGUCAUGGAUCCCUACAAGUUCACCACCCUACUAUGGUACUCACGGUUUUACAUACUAUCACAUAGUUAAGUUCUGACACAUUUUCUCUGGGGAGUUGAAACAACUCAUGGUGUAAGUAGGUGUUGCUUGAAGCACUGAUUCUACUAGCACCUCCUUUCCCGCCUUCGAGAUACCUUGUCCUUCCUAUCCAACCACUUUGCCAUUUGAGCUUUCUUUAAGAUGUUUAAAAUUUCCCUCCUUUGACCUACCCACCACGGUUGGGAGCCCCAAAUAAUGCUCGCUCAAUGCCUUAGGAUCUGUGCAAAGAUAUUUACAACAACUUACUCCUCCUAUUUGCCUCACUUCCCAAAGAAUGUUGAGGCUUUUUGAAAAUUUCCCAUUUGUCCCGAGGCCCACUCGUAGUCAAUGAGGAUAUAUUUAAGGUUACAAAGUUGCCAUUUGACGGUUGAAGAAAUACUAUACUAUCAUCUGCAGAAAUAAGAUGGACUACAUGGGGGUUAGUGCUCCCAAAAGAUAUACCAUUGAUCUCUUUAUCUUUGAGCACUCAUGAGAAAGGCCAAAAAACUCGCAACAUAGAAAAUAAAAAAAAAAUAGGGAGACCAUGGGUCUCCUUGCCAAAGCCCUCUUCAUAGUAUAAAAAAAUACAAAACACACUCCUUUCAAUUUGAUAGAAAACCUGGCCGGGGUACCACACAUCAUAAUCAUCAAGAUCAACCUAUCUGAGAAACCAAGUGCCCUCAUCAUCAGAUCGAGGAAAAUCCAAACCACCCUCUUAUAGGCCUUCAUCCUGUAUAGUUUAAUUGCAAACAUUGGAUUUUUCUAUUUCUUGAAUGUACUUUGCUCCUGUGUGAUCAUUAUGGAUAGGACAACCUUCAAUCUCUUUGCUAGGCCUUUGAAGCAAUCUGACUGAGCGUGUUCAAUAAGUUGAUUGAUCCCAUUUGAGGAAGUAUCUCCAUUUAGGUAAUUUUGGGGAUUAGGACUAGAACCAUAUCACUAAAGUUUGGUGAAAUAACUCCAUUAAAAGAAUCAUUUAUUACUAUGCGUACAUCAUUUUUUAGAAAUAACUAGUGAAAUUGGUAAACAUAAGUGAGAGGUUGUCUUGCCCCUGUGCUCCAGUCAAAUUUAGAAUAGUGCAUUCUCAAUUUCUUCAUCCAUCACGUCUGUUUUCACCCUCUCCUCCAUAUCACUAGUCACACAGGGUCGGAUGUGAGCUAAGAUGUUGUCAGCAUCAGCAGAGGCUUCUGAAGAAAACAACUAAGCAUAGAAAUCGGCUGAAAUCUUCCCCAUCUCAUUGUCAGUAGUACAACUCGUGCCAUCCGCCCUCAUGUUUUGAUCGUCUUUCUUGAGAAAUUCCAGUAGGGAACAUUGCAUACACAUUAUUUGUUCCUGUGCACGAACCACAUGAAGCUAGGCUUCAAUCUCACUGGUCUUCAGCGAGGAUGUCUGGAUCCCAAUGAUCUACCCUUUCCAUCGAAGCUGGACCUUGUGCCUAGUUAUCUCACAACAUACCAGACAAAAUACAAAGCCACUUCAAUAUUUCAUAUCAUUGGUGACAUUGUUAUGCUUCCUGUAGAGCUCACUCUGGCCGGAAUUGUUAUCACAUGCACACUAUCAUGCCUCCAUCCAUGGGCAUCCACCUCUCCUCAAACGUUAAUGCCCUCUUCUUACUUUUGGUAAUGACUAGGUUUUCUAGCGCUCUAUUAACGAGCAAACCAUGGUCUCGUCCUCCAUGACAACAUGUUCAAUGGUUGUAUCCUACAAUGAAUGCACGACUUCAUCAUUGCAUGGACCCCUGUCCACAUGUACAUAAAGGAUCUCAUCCCGCUCCCUCUUAUUGUCCCAAGUGUACAGGUUGCUAGUAAAACAAAGUUUUGAAACACUAUUAUUGGCUACACUCUCCCUAAUGCGCUCCAUUUGUGUGAAACUCCUCAAGUAAUCUCCUAGUUGUUGUGAUUAAAAGAAUUCUUUGUUGAGCUAUCAUUGUAACAGAUAAAUGUAUUAUUAGGAUCCAGUCUCUCGGAGCCUCCCUUAGCUACACAAAUUUUCUUCAAUCUCUCUUCCUAUCAAUUAGCUUUAGGUUAUAAUCAUUGUGAUGCCUUUGGUAGUCACCAUCACCUUGCCUCAUCCUAUGAACAAAAGUGCCUCAUCUGCGUUGCUCUGAGGUAGAUGGUCAUCUUUCCCAAUGGCCUUGCACCCUUUCCCAUAUAGAUUUUUUUAUGUCUUGCUUCCUUUCAUGCUCCUUUCUCAUGUCCCACUUCCUUUUUAGAUUUAAAUCAUCCCUUAGUUCACAAUCAUGUCACAGAUCUUGCCUGCAUUGGUCCUCCCUGCACUUCAUCUUAGACAGUGACCCUCUACAAGACCAUCUCGAGGAUCCUCGUAGAGAGAGAGUCCACAGAGGGUGUAUAAUCAUUGUAUGACCUGCACGUAAAUGGACGGACAUGCAACGCUACAUGACCCAUCGCCCAUAGACGCCCUUGCUUGACCUAGUGCUCCCAAAACUAAAGUUCAUGCUUUCUUUCACCGGCCUCUACUUUGUUUUUGUCUGUGAGGAGCCAUGUCCAAGUUAUGCCCUCAACCAUUCACCCAACUAGGGUGAGGAAUCAUUUUGUGGUUCAAAUCAUCCGUCAACAUGUGCUAGUCUGUCGUAGUCAAUCCAAAAGAGAGGUAUCUUUACAAAUUGAAAAUCAAACAAGGUCCCCUCAUCUUUUGCUGAAGAGUGGAGAAAGAAGCCUCAGACUAGUGAAAGAAAUAUGAAAAUUCUAGCUCUAGGUCUGAGAUGGUUCCCCCAUAAAUCCAUCCUUCCUAACAUCACUCUUUACCACGCCACCAAGACAAUUCCCUAGAGCAUUCCCAAAAGUAUAUGAUCAUUUAUAUAGGGGAGGAUCUAUAAUUAUCACCCAUGGCUCCGUCAUACAAAACAUUAUCUUCGAUGACCUAGUUUCUUCAUCAUAAUCCUUCAAAAGUAUCGCAUUAAAACCAAAUUGCCACAUUCAAUUAUAUAGAGCGUGCUUUUAGACUCCUUUGUUAUGGAAUCUAAAGAACAAGAUAUUAUUUCUAAUGUGACUUAUUUGGGCUUCCUAGUAUAGUCCCAUGUAUGUUGCAUAGCCCUAGCAAACACGUUGAUGUUGAUUUGCUGGAGUGACCAUGCCUUUCCAACCACUGACCACCGAGUAGGCCUCGGUAGGUCUGGAAUCCUGAUCCUCAAACAUGAGAUCUAUUAGUUACUUUUGUUGUCAAGUUCAGGGCUCCUUGUUAAUUUGGUUGAGAGUUUAGCUGCCUCCCCUGAAGCAUUUCCAUCUGUCAGGGACUUUUGAAGGUUCUCAUCUUAACGAUCCUUGGUCACCAUGUUCACUUGAGCUGUCGAUUUACGCCACGCCUUCUCUCCCAUCAUCGCGCAAAGGAGUGGAAGCACCAAGACCAAUCAAUGUAGGAGUAUACAGUGUCAUCACCUCAUAGAUGAAUAAAAACCUAACCCUAGCACUACUUGUCGGUCGCCUAUAAUCGCCCUUAGUAUUUCUUUUCAUGUUGGGCCCGCCACUAGGUAUUUAUACCUGUGCUUCCAUUGGUACUUUUUUUGCGCUGGAGCCUUUCUGCUACAUUUGCCUUUCUACAAAGGCGGUCUUAUCCAAAUCAUAUAGUCUCCUCUAUCUAUAGGAAGCGAGGACAUUAGCUCUUCUUUUUUUCAAGGCAAAUACACUUGCUAGUGUUCAAGCGACAUCUAAAGAAGUCUUGUCACAUGUGAAGACGAGGCUAAGAGUGUGACACAUAUAGGUGCCAACUUGAAGAAUAAUGCAAAUUUCAGUAAAUAUGAAUAGCUCCAGGGGAACGAGCGCACAAAGGAAUCAGCCACCAUAUAUGGAUCAUUUCCAAAGAAACAAAGUCACAAAGAGAGAGACAAGACAUUAGCUUCUUUAUGGGGAACACAUACAUUUAAAUGUUGCCUUGCUCUCUGAUUAUUAACAAGAAAUAAUUUUUACUAAUAUAUUAUGUGUAAAUCUUGAUAGAUAUGGAAUGUAUUUUGGUCAGUAUGUUUUAAGGAAUCAUAUUAGUUUUUGGUAUGUUGAAAUUAGAAGAAGUUCAUGUGCCUUCAAGGCAUGUCAAGGUGUGUUGUUCCACCUCAAAAUUGGUACAUACUAAAUGGUUAUUCUCCCUACAUAUAGCCCCAAUUCUCAUGCUCUCUCUCUCUAUCUAUCUAUCUAUCUAUCUAUCUAUCUAUCUAUCUCUCUCUCUCUCUACAUUUUAUAUUCCAGACUACUCCAUAAAGCCUAAUUGGUGAAGGUCCAUAAACACCCAGCAAUGAUGGGUUCAACUCCCAUUAGUAGUAUAUACUUAGUGGAGGAGAAACAAGCCAAGCCCGCCAAUGGUGAAUAAAUCAGAAAAGAAAAUCAGGCCAUGCCCAAUCCAAAUCCGGCACCUGCCAACAAUGUGUAGUCUCCACUACUCGAACCUACUUUUCCUCAGUGUGUUACAUCAUGUGAUGUUUGGAGAAGCCAUAGAGUUGGGGAUCCAAAUAUAGAUAACAACAAUGGGGAGUGGCUUGAAGAAUAGGAGCCAAGAAGCCGGACGGACAAGGCCUCCACCAUGCUGUACCAUUGGCCGAUACUGACCCGUAUGGUGCAAGGACCGACGCAGAACUGAACACCGUCAUCAUCUAGGUUGCAAAGGAAGUUGGACCACUGUGUUUCUUCUCUCGGACAAACUCAAUGAUUUCAUGCAGUUGGCACCCACGCCACAUUCCACAGAGAUAACAACAUUGAGGAGGAGGAGGAGGGGCAACGCAAGGUUUCUUCCUCAUAGGAAUUACUUUCGAGGAAGUGAGGGGACGGUAUGGCAUGAUGAGUAGUUAACAAGGGAAGUUUGCAUGACUGCGGCGGACAAAUCAUGAAGACAAGUGUGCUAGUAGCUAGAUAAGGGAUGAAUGAUAGCAGGAAGGAAUAAUGAGCUUACUGGGUGAGGCUACUAUUUUUUAAGUUGCGACCUACUGAUCAUAACAACAAUUGAUCGUAACAACGUACCAUUGAUGAUAUAGGGUAUUGAUUUAGUAACUGUUACGAUGUGACUAGGGCUUGUAAGCGGUGGGUUGUAUAUUACUAACAAGUAGCAUGUUUAGCCUCGAUAUUGUCCUCUGUCACUCGUAACAACGUACCAUUGACGGACCCCGUCACUACUACCUUUUUCCAACAAAAAUAGAAUUUUAGUUAUAGUAAGAUUCACAACAAUCCCGCCGGCCAUCAGUGCUAAGUUGCCUGCUGACGGGUUUUUUGACCCACCACUUUUGAUCGAUAACUAGGCGAGAACUCUAGUCUGGUGCACAUUUGUUUUGUUCAGAAUUUUUAGUGUUUUUAUGUGUACAAAGACAUAUAUUUCAACCCUAACAGGUUCUCUUUAGGUGGGGUCGAGAGUGAAGGACUGGGGAGCUUGGAAGCAGGGGAAAUGGCACCUCGAGGGGUUCAGGUCUCUAUGAUCAAUAACCACAAUUUUGAUCUGAAUGAGCUGCCGACUGAGCAUGAGUAGCUCAGGAAGGAGUAGUCACCUCUGGAGCAAGAGUAGCCUCCUAUGGCACAACAUGAGGUUUAAUAUUCACAAUGGUUGGAGGCUACUCAAAUCCCUCUUGUGUGAGCAAAGUUAACUCUUGGACCAAAGUGUAGCCCUGUUAGAAAUUAUCGAAACAAUAUCAUUAUCCCAAGGACGAUUGUAAAGCUUAUGUGGAACUUUUGAAUUUCUCGCUUCCUAUUUUUUGUUGAUUUACUGACGCUAUUGCUGAACUUGAGGGAAGGACUUGGUAUACUGCUUCAUGAUCAACGUGUCAACUGGAAAUGGCUUUUCUAUUCAUUUCCCGUGAUGGUUUUGAUAUGUGGAUUGUUUGAACAAGCAGGUGUUCAUUCGGUAAAGCUUUGUGAAACAACAACGGUGGAGCUAGGUCUCUGGUCAUGUGAAAUGACAGUAGGUCAAGAAGUGUGUUGGAUCAUGAGAUAACAUAUUUUCUAAGUUGUUAAUCAUGUGUGUUAACACCAUGGGUAGUAUGAGAGAAGGUCAACAUGCAUGUUUGGGUCUGAAAUGACCUCAUGACCAAAAAAGGGAGAGAAACAUGGCUAAUAGGAAUACGAACGAUAUGGAAGUUAGUUGUUGCAUGGAUGUUAACUGUGGUUAUGAAGCCACACAAGAUGUCAGAGGACCCGCAUCCUUACAUAUCAAGGUUGACUUCACAUGCCAACUGGAUUUCGUCUAAAUUAUUGUAUAUGUAUGUAUGUUAUAUCUUGAAAUCUUACCAAACAAAAAACACCAAAAAAUACACUAUUUACUUCUCUUUGAUGCAUAUUCUAGUUGGAGGGUAAUCAAAACCUUAUGUGGAUAUUUGUCCACAAUAGAAUAUACAAUGGUCUAGUGAGGCAAGGUGUAAAUGGAUAGGACAAUAAUCGAACAUGAAAACAUCCAACAUUGUGUUAUAGUUGCAUCAAGUUGUCUAGUGAGUCAAUAUGGAAAUGGAGGAGGCUCAUAGGGCAACACGAGAACACCCAACAUGUAGCUCUACUUACUUCCUAUUGGUACGAAGAGACCAAGACUAGUGAACGGUUAACCAUAACACAUGGACAAGAUAUCUCAUACAAGAUGAAAAUGGAGUGUGUCUUGUAUGAAAAUGCUAACAAAGUAUGAGUGUGUAUGGCAUGCCAUCCCCUCCCUUUCUUGUUCGAGUUUACUUCACCAACCCCAUAGUACCCUGAUCAACACUAUUAUUUGGAUAUGCUUCUCAUCUGAGAAAGAAUAGUUAUUGAGAGACAUUUAUAUCAUUGUCUAGAUAGACUUGUUCAAGGGGCAAUAAUGGAGGUGUCUUAUCUAUUAUAGCCACAUUCCAGAGAAGAAUAAAAAAAGUAGACACAACCUGAUAAUUUAUUGAGAUUUGAAUUGAGGAUUCCACAUACAUCAACUAUCCUACAUGUGAAUCAAAUCCACAUCCUACAUGGGCAUUGGGCUUUAGUUGGACUACCACUUUAUGGACAAGCCAUGUGCUCCAUGUAGUCUUUAUUGCAAAGGCGGGAGAACAGGGAGCAAAUAGUUUUCGAUGGCUGGACAUUGAAGUUAUUUGUCAAGAAAUUUGUUUCCUGACAUGGUUUGUUUAUUUCAUUGUUUAGUAUUUGAUAUCGGUUCAAUGCUCUAGUAUGUAACCUUCUUCUCACAUUUUGGGUCUAGCUCUUGGUGUUCAUGAGUUCAUUACUUAUGUUAACUAUUAUUGUUGUGCCCACUUGUUCACAAGAGACUAUAAAGUUAACUAAGAUACUCCCGUAUUUAUAUUAAUAUAGUUGGCACUAAGGUAAUCAUCAACCUUGAAUAUUACUCAUAUUUGUCAAAUAGGAGGUCAAGCUGGAUCUGUCUGGCGCAUCAUCUAUGGUCACAUAUGGUGUAUUGUCUAUUCUAAACCCAAUGAGUAUUGCAGAAUGACAUGUGCCUGCGGGGAGGAAUGAGUCACUGUUUUGGGUCAAGGGGUGAUGCCAUGCCUCAUAAUUGACAAUAAAAAAUUAACCACCUACAUAAAAAGUCUAACCCAAGACAGGGAAUAUGCACCAUUGCAAUUUUACUGCACAAAGUCAUCGGUAUUUUGCAAUUGAAUGUUCCCCAUGUUGUGACUGAGAACACAAAACACAAAACACCCCACAAAACACUAUUCACUUCUCCUCGAUGCAUAUUCUAGUGGAAGGGUAGUCAUAACCAUAUGGGAAUAUUUUACCACAAUAGAAUCUAUAAUGGUCUAGUGAGGCAAGGUGUAAAUGGAGAGGAUAAUAGGCGAACAUGGAAACAACCAACAUUGUGUUGUACUUUCAUCUAGUUGUAUAGUGAGAUAAUAAGGAAACGGAGGAGGCUCAUAGGGCAACAUGAGAACGCCCAACAUGUUGCUCUACUUACUUCCUAUUGUUACCAAGGGACUGAGACUCGAGCAUGGUUAAUCAUAACACAUGGACAAGAUCUCUCAUACUAGUUGAUAAUAGAAUGAAUCUUGUAUGAUAAUGCUAACAAAGUAUGAGUGUGGAUAACAUGCCAUCUCCUCCCUUUCUUGUUGUAUUUUCCUUCACCAACCCCCAUAGUACCCUGAUCAACACUAUUAAUUCGAUAUGCUUCACAUCUGAGUUAGAAUUGUGAUUGGGAAUAGUUGUAUCAUUAUCUAAGUAGACUUAUUUAAGGGGAAAUAAUGGACAUGUCUUAUCUAUUAUAGCCACAUUCCGGAUAGGAAUAAAAAAAUUGACAUAACAAGAUAAUUUGUUGAGAUUUGAAUCGAAAAUUCAACAUACAUCAACUAUGCUACAUGUAAAUCAAAUCCUCAUCCUACAUCGGCAUUCGGCUUUAUUUGGACAACCACUUUAUGGACAAGCCGUGUGGUCCAUGUGGUCUACGUCACAAAGGCCAUAGGACAAGGAGAAAAUAGUUGUCGAUGAUUGGUGAUUGAAGUUAUUUGUCAAGAAAUUUUCCCCCCAACAUGGUUCAUUUAAUUCAUUAUUUAGUAUUUGAUAUCGGUUCUAUGCUCUAAUGUGUAACCUUCUUCUCACGAUUUGGGUCUAGCUGUCAGUGGUCAUGAGUUCAUUACUUAUGUUAACUACUAUUGUUGUGUCCACUUGUUCGCAAGAGACUAUAAAGUUAACUUAUAUCCUCCCGUAUUUAUAUUAAUAUAGUUGGUGGUUAGGUAAUCCUUGACCUUGAAUAUUACUCACAUUUUUCAAAUAGGAGGCCAAGCUGGAACUGUCUAGUGCAUCAUCUAUUGUCACAUAUGGUGUAUUGCCUAUUCUAAACCCAAUGAGUAUUACAUUAUGGCAUGUGCCUGCAAGGAGGAAUGAGUUACUCUUUUAUGUCAAGGGGAGACGGCAUGCCUAAUAAUUGUCAAUGAAAAAUUAAUAGUCUACAUCAAAAGUCUAACCCAAGAAAGUGAAUAUGUGCCAUUGUAAUUUUACAACACUAAGGGCCUGUUCUGAUCUUGUCCCGCUCCACGCUUCACAAAUUCCUGGAGCAGAUACGAGCCGAAUGAAAUAGCAGCGAGAAGCUAGCUCCAGGAAGCUAGGAUCGACCGCAAUGCAAAAUCAUGAAGCAGACUCGGCCCAGCUCCACCGAUCUGGAAAGCUGAAGUUAGCCCAUAUUACAAGUGAACUGCCACAGCCAAAUCAUACAAGCCGAACCGGUAUGCUCGAUCUGUUUGAUUGCUCCUCGUUCCCUCGCUCGUGCUCCCUCACUGCUCCUCUACAAGGCCGAUUUGGGUUGCCUCCAAUCAACCCAACUAGCUCGAUUAGGCCACAACCCUUCUAGCUGGGUUGCAGUGCCGCGAGAAGCUACAAACCGAGCGUAACAGAUUUUUCAUCGCUGCUUGGAGUGAGAAGCUACUCUGAAAAGUUGAAUUUCUUAAGUUUUGGGAAGCUAGAGGAGAUCAUAACAGGCCCUAAGUCAUCGGUAUUUCAUAAUUGAAUGUUCUCCAUGUCGUGACGUUUGAUGGUGUAAACCCAAAUAAUCGCCAUUGUGAAAUUAAAUUCCUCCCGUGAGUCGAACCCACAUCCAUAAAGAUGUGCCACUAAAAUCCACCUCUAGGCUAUCUUGGAGUCCUUAAUAUAAUCAAGUGCGCCCAAUAUGGUGACUUAAUAUGUACUUAUUGACCCUACGAAGCUAAUCACCUCCAUCAAGACCCCUUCCUGGUUCUCCUAUAACUAGAUUUCCCGAAACCACGAGAAUCCUUAGAAUGGGAUUACAACUUAGCACCUUUCGUUUUCACAUAGUAAGAAGAGUUGCUCCUUGGAUAGCAUGGUACGAUCAAAGGUGUAACCUGUGUUUCGGAGGGAGUUAUUGUCUCGAAACUUUGUUCUCAGCUAUUCCGAUUCCAGCAAACGGAGGCCAUUGGGUCAAAGCUGUACUGCACGCCCUGUAGUUUUCAAGUGGGGUGAGACAACUUUAGCUAGGAACCAAUUUUCAUUCUGACUAGCUCCCUGAAAACAAUGUUCGACUUCAUGUGUAGUCGGUGUAGAUGUGUCAUUGCAAUUCCACCACUAGGAUAUCAACAAGUCCUAUGUAUUACAUGACAACAUAUGCCACCAUAUGGUGACUUGAUAAAUUAAAUGGAUUUCACCAAGCUUUCGUGUUACAAUUAUAGUGAAGAUAGUGACUCACAUGUCAGCCUCCCUGACGGGAAGCAAAAUCACUCUGACUUUGGCAACCUAAUUUUUGGUGGAUUCAAGCAAACAUGUUGGAUUUGUAUUUUAUUUAUUUCAACAUAUAUAAUUCAUAUAAAUAAAUCAAUUCAUAAUAGGUGUCUUGGAGACACCCAUGUCAAUAAUGUGAAAUUAUGGGAAAUCUUAUUAUGUGCAUCAACAUAAGCCAAAACUCGUGGCUUAAGAGAUAUGUGUACAAUCUUCGAAUGGUUAUUCCCCCUACUAAAUUCAUGAUGUUAGCUAGUUCCCAGAAGUUGAGAAAGAAGUUUAGUCAUGGGAUCAAUGUCCAGGUGCAUCAUAUUUCCAGUCCCAAAAAAAUUUGUUAUGGAAGUUGAGAAAGAAGUUUGGGCAACAUAUUUCUAGACACCUGUCAUGUCUAGGAUCUUCUCAAGCCUAGGUAAGCUUAGUCAUGGGAUCAAUGCAGGCUAUUAGUACAUUGACCUGGUUCUUAAUUCAAGUCCUCCUUGCUUGAUACAAUAUUGAAUGGAAAGUACAUAAUCAAUUUACUUAAGUGGGUGAACAAUGUUGGCUAGUAUAUUUCAACACUCACCUCACAUGCAUCUUUUAGAGGCAUAUAAUGCAUCGUGAUGGAAACAUUUUUUCUAUAGACUAAAUUUCAAUGGAAAAUUUUAAUUAAUUUAAUUAGUAGCAAUCUCGUAUCGCAAGGAUAUAUGGCAAAUGAAAAUGAGGGCUCAAAUGCUACUUGUUGGCACACAAAAGUCAAGUUGUCUUUUUCCUCCCAUGUUGAUCCUCCGUGGUUCGACAUUGGGCAUUACAAAGAGAUCAAGUUAUGUUUACACACCGCUAGAGCUACCAGACCCUGGAUGUUCCACCAUGAAUGUCCAUAUGGUGCAAUGAGUGAUAGCGAGGUAUAUUAGAACAUAUAGUUUACACCGUUAAAGUAAUUAAAUCGGCUAUUUUUCCUACUAUGAAAAAUAGUAUUUUAAGAGAAAACUAUAUAAGAGUUUGUGAUCUUUGUAUGUAAAAGCAUUAUUUUCCUUUGCUUGGUGUUCACGCAGUUUGUUUUAUGGCAAAAAUGGAAAAUCAUGGGACAAUAAUUGUUGAUAUUUUUUGCCGGAAAGCGAGAUCUUUUCACUUUUCAGAUCACACAAAGUAUUGUUUUUCUUAUAGGGGUGAUAUACAGUGUUCUAAAUCUGCACUUGUGAUUCGUUGUCCAUUUAAAUCUGGUUUCUUCCACAGAUUAUGUUGGUUUGUUGUUGUAUUUAUCUCAGCACUAAAGUAUACUGAUGUUAGCUAAGUCCAAUCAAAGGCCCGUGUUUUUAUCAUGUUAUACAAAUUAGUAAGCUAAGAUCUUACCAAACUCAAGUUACAUAAGCCCAGACUACGUGAAAUACACAUCAUGCAGUACACAUGUUCAUCUUAGUGUUAUGUUAUACUUGGCUCCGAGAUAACAAAUGGUAUCAAUUAUUACUAUCUUUUGCAGCUUGUUUCUGCCUGUUCAUCGUAGAAUUAUCUUAUGUGGUCUCCCAAGGUUCAUACAACUUGGAUUUUUCAUACUUUGGUAGUAUUAGUGUUCACUAGGACUAGGUGCCACUCUGCAGAAGCUGAGGAUACAGAUGGAGAAAGUAGUCAUGGUUUUUUUUUUCAAAAAGUUUGUUCAUAUCUAUAAGAGGUUUAUGAAUUUUCAGUGUAUAGUGUUGUGAAACCUAGAGUGUUUUAUCUCAUUUAACAUUGAACUACGCUUUCAAGGAAAAACCUUCAUUUGACAUCGAACUAUGCAUGCAGGGCAAACACCCCGUGCUUCGGUGCCACCGCGCCGCGAACCCUGGGAGCUUGAACCUGGAUGGGUGUGAACUUCAGAUUGAUGUCAAGGUUAGGGGUCAGUCAUGGAUAGAGAAUAAAGGGGACUUUGCAAAACUGUUAUUAAUAAUAUGGAUGAAACAUUGCCUUGUGGAGAGAAUAAGAUAUUUCCAGAGAUAUUUAUAAAUGGAUGCAUACUUGAAAUAGCAGUACAAAAUAUGAUGCUAACAUUUUAUUUUCAUUGUUGUUCCCAUAAAACUUCUGGUGGUGGCUCCAUUAUUCACAGCCUCGCACAUGAAAAUGUU